rnacentral:rRNA from 1 species
AACGAACGCUGGCGGCAGGCUUAACACAUGCAAGUCGAGCGCCCCGCAAGGGGAGCGGCAGACGGGUGAGUAACGCGUGGGAAUCUGCCCAUCUCUACGGAAUAACGCAUGGAAACGUGUGCUAAUACCGUAUACGUCCUUCGGGAGAAAGAUUUAUCGGAGAUGGAUGAGCCCGCGUUGGAUUAGCUAGUUGGUGGGGUAAAGGCCUACCAAGGCGACGAUCAUAGCUGGUCUGAGAGGAUGAUCAGCCACACUGGAACUGGGACACGGCCCAGACUCCUACGGGAGGCAGCAGUGGGGAAUAUUGGACAAUGGGCGCAAGCCUGAUCCAGCCAUGCCGCGUGAGUGAUGAAGGCCCUAGGGUUGUAAAGCUCUUUCACCGGUGAAGAUAAUGACGGUAACCGGAGAAGAAGCCCCGGCUAACUUCGUGCCAGCCGCCGCCGUAACAC